ACUCCUACGGGAGGCAGCAGUAAGGAAUAUUGCUCAAUGGCCGAAAGGCUGAAGCAGCAACGCCGCGUGAGGGAUGAAGACCUUAUGGUUGUAAACCUCUGUAGAAAGGGAGAAACACUCCGCUCUGCGGAGAUUGAUAGUACCUUUAAAGUAAGCCCCGGCUAACUACGUGCCAGCAGCCGCGGUAAU
rnacentral:rRNA from 1 species